CCAAAGGCUCUUUUCAGAGCCAUCCACCUGGUCGCAAAAAAGCUUGU
rfam:Oryctolagus cuniculus chromosome 12, whole genome shotgun sequence.